rnacentral:misc_RNA from 1 species
GAUGAAGACGUAGCGAAAUGCGAUAAGUAGUGUGAAUUGCAGAAUUCAGUGAAUCAUCGAAUCUUUGAACGCACAUUGCGCCCUUUGGUAUUCCUUAGGGCAUGCCUGUUCGAGCGUCAUCUAAACCUUCAAGCUCAGCUUGGUGAUGGGCGACUGUCCCCCCCCCUCGCGGGGGGGACUCGCCUCAAAAACAUUGGCGGCCGGUACAUUGGCUUCGAGCGCAGCAGAAACGCGGUCUCGAGCCCGGUGGAUCGGCUCCCAUAAGCCUAUUCUUUUAUUUUGACCUCGGAUCAGGUAGGGAUACCCGCUGAACUUAAGCAUAUCAAUAAGCGGAGGA